rnacentral:rRNA from 1 species
AACGAACGCUGGCGGCGUGCUUAACACAUGCAAGUCGAACGCGAAAGUCCCGCAAGGGAUAAGUAGAGUGGCAAACGGGUGAGUAACGCGUGGGUGACCUGCCUUCAAGUGGGGGAUAACGUCCCGAAAGGGACGCUAAUACCGCAUAACAUCCUGCCUUCGAAGAGGCGGUGAUCAAAGCCGGGGAUCGCAAGACCUGGCGCUGGAAGAGGGGCCCGCGUCCGAUUAGCUAGUUGGUGGGGAAUGGCUCACCAAGGCUUCGAUCGGUAGCCGGCCUGAGAGGGCGGACGGCCACACUGGGACUGAGACACGGCCCAGACUCCUACGGGAGGCAGCAGUGGGGAAUUGUUCGCAAUGGGCGCAAGCCUGACGACGCAACGCCGCGUGGAGGAUGAAGACCU